UAAGGAAUAUUGGUCAAUGGACGCAAGUCUGAACCAGCCAUGCCGCGUGAAGGAUGAAGGUCCUCUGGAUUGUAAACUUCUUUUAUCUGGGACGAAAACGGGAUUUUUAUCUCAAUUGACGGUACCAGAGGAAUAAGCACCGGCUAACUCCGUGCCAGCAGCCGCGGUAAUACGGAGGGUGCGAGCGUUAUCCGGAUUUACUGGGUUUAAAGGGUGCGUAGGUGGGCUUAUAAGUCAGUGGUGAAAUCUCCGAGCUUAACUUGGAAACUGCCGUUGAUACUAUAGAUCUUGAAUUAUCUGGAGGUAAGCGGAAUAUGUCAUGUAGCGGUGAAAUGCUUAGAUAUGACAUAGAACACCAAGUGCGAAGGCAGCUUACUACAUAUAAAUUGACGCUGAGGCA
rnacentral:rRNA from 1 species